CCUACGGGGUGCUGCAGUGAGGAAUAUUGGUCAAUGGACGAGAGUCUGAACCAGCCAAGUAGCGUGAAGGAUGACUGCCCUCUGGGUUGUAAACUUCUUUUAUAAAGGAAUAAAACGAGGCACGUGUGCCUUUUUGCAUGUACUUUAUGAAUAAGGAUCGGCUAACUCCGUGCCAGCAGCCGCGGUAAUACGGAGGAUCCGCGCGUUAUCCGGAUUUAUUGGGUUUAAAGUGAGCGUAGAUGGGUUGUUAAGUCAGUUGUGAAAGUUUGCGGCUCAACCGUAAAAUUGCAAUUGAUACUGGCAGUCUUGAGUACAGUUGAGGGAGGCGGAAUUCGUGGUGUAGCGGUGAAAUGCGUAGAGAUCACGAAGAACCCCGAUUGCGAAGGCAGCUGACUAAACUGUGACUGACAUUGAUGCUCGAAAGUGUGGGGAUCAAACAGGAUUAGAUACCCCAGUAGUC
rnacentral:rRNA from 1 species